AUUUUUGACUGUGGAGAAAAUCAGACUAAAAUAUUUAUUCGGUAUCCAUCCAUCCAUCUAUUCCACAAAUAGUUAUUAUCUACGUGGGACUCUGCUAGGUGCUAUGGGGAGGCUUUUGAAAAGCAAUUAUGUACAAUUACAAAUUAUACUCAUGUGACACAGUCAAAUGGAUGUGUACAAUGCUUCUGGAGAUUAACACAGAAAUGACCUAAACUGUGAGAGUACAGCCCCAGACUGGGUUUAAUUAAAUAUGUGUUCCUAAGUUGAUGAUGAUAACCCUCACAGCACACGCUCAUGGCAUUCCAUCAGUGUACUGUGGCCACAUCACUUCCAAGUGUUGGAUGUGAAAUAAACUGUCUCUUUUGUUUCUAAAAUAUUAUGUCUCAGAGGUAAUUCUUUUAAAAUCUUUUAUACAUGUAAAAAAUGGUAUAUGAUUUAUUAUAUUAUAUUGUUCAUAUUAUAUAAAAUCACAUUUAAUUUAUAUGUAUGUUUAUGUGAUUGGUAGGUAGAAAGAAAGAAAAGAAAGAGAGGGAGGGAGGGAAGGGGGUAGAAAGGAAGGGAAGAGAACCUGUGCUUUUCCAGAUUCUUCCAUUCCCCCUUCUUCUAUAAAGUGAAUGAAGUUUUCCUCAAAUUAAGGCACAAAUGUCACAUUACUUUUUAUUUAAAGCAGUCUAAUUUCAGCGCCUCUCUAGGAAAGGUGGAUGAAAAGUUUGAUCAAUUGCAUAGAUGUCCAGAAAAGAGGACUUUCCAUGGCCAUCCAUCAUCCUAUGACUUUUCCUUCCAAGACCCUGGAGCUAGUCAGGAGUGUUCCUCUUUUGUGGGUCUCACACCAUGGUCACUUGCCCAUGUGCUUGCCCAGGCCACAACUGGAUGGUGGGGGACAAGGUCCAUGGGAAUCAAGGGGACCCUUGCCCCUAACACCAAAUUUUUGUUUUUGUUUUUUUGCAGGGAAAGCGUCUCCCUGAGUUAACAUCUGCUGCCAAUCUUCCUCUUUUUCUUUUUCGCUCUCCAAAGCUCCAGUACAUAGUUAUAUAUCCUAGUUGUGGGUUGUCCUAGUUCUUCUAUGUGAGCUGCUGCCACAGCAGGGCUACUGACAGAUAGGUGGUGUGAUUCUGUGACCAGGAAGCGAACCUGGGCGGCCGAAGUGGUGAGCACCAAACUUUUUAACCACUAGGCCAUCAGGGAUGGCUCUUAAUGCCAGGUUUUUUAAUACAGAUCACCCAACCUGAGAGUCUGCCAAAUUUGAGAGAAAGGGAGUUGUAACUCUCUCUUUCUCCUGUCCCCACCAUCCAACUGCCUUCUUGAGGUGAGUCCCCUCCCCUUUAAGUUCUCAGGAACUCUCAUCAUUUUAGACAAGACAGAUUAAACACCUCAACAGGUUAAAACUUGAAAAAAUAAUGUUUUCCCUAAAUUAAGAGAAGUCCAGACUGAAGAAUUCAAAGGCUUGUGUCUCACCUUGAGAAGAAUAUACCUAAUUUUAACAUAUCUCACUUGUUUUUCUAUAUCACAGAUAAUUAUUUAUAUUUAGAGAUAUUAUCAAUAUCUACUUAUCUGCAUCUAUAUAUACAUGUGUAUAUCUAUUAUCUGUAUCUCUAUUUAUAUAUAUCUACAUCUCUAUUAUCUAUCUCUAUGUCUACCUAUAUCACAGAUUGUUUCUAAAUGGACCAUUUGCCAUGUUGUGUUGUCAGUAAAUCAUCUCAAUACAUUUAUUGUUUUCUAUUAGCCACACCAUUCCCUUGGAAAUAUUCCAAAAUCAAAAGAAACGUAAGGUGAAAAGUAUCUCAGAGCUGACUUAUUUGGUAUUUCCUAAAAUUUAAAUAUUUCAGCACCACAUUCACAAUUUUUAUUAUAUUCACAUACCAUGGUCUAUUUUCUUAAUGUAUUUCUCUAAAUCAACUCAUUUAUUUUACCAAAAUACAUUAUUUUAAAAGUAAAUCUAAUUAGCUUAAAUGAAGGGAAACUUGUAAAAAUAAUUGCCUGAAGAUAAAUAAAAUGAAAACAAAACAUUAUUCCAUCCUAGCUGCUGCAGUAGGCAAAGACUCUGAGCUUAAGACUUCUCCUUGCCCCAUUUCUUUGUGACAAAAAAGAGAGUUAGAAAGAAAAUUACUUUCUCAUCACGUGAUUUAAUCUUAUUUAAUUCUGAGUCUGUAUGUUACCUAAAAGAUUUGUGUCUCAUACUUUGAGAAACACUGUUGGGGUUUAUUCCCUUCAGUUUGUUCAAAAAUUGAGACCCCUGGGGCUGUUCACAUGCUUCACUCCAGUAGCCCGGGAUUCACAGGUUUGGAUCCCAGGUGUGGACAUAGCACUCCUUGUCAAGCCAUGCUGUGGUGACAUCCCACAAAAAAUACAGGAAGAUUGGCACAGAUGUUAGCUCAGUGACAAUCUUCCUCACAAAAAAGAAAAAAAAAUGAAGCCCAGAGAAAAUGGGUUUAUAACUUACUCCCGACAAAGCUGAGAUUAGUCUUUGGGUUUCUUGACCUCAAGCUCCGUGCACUUACCCACAUCAUCCACCUCCUCUGUCUUUGAGUUGUAAUAGGACCUUUCAUUUAUCUGGGCCUGGCCACUCGAACUGGCUCGAAGGUUCAGUGAGGUCAGGAGUCAUGAC
ensembl:lncRNA